GAUGAACGCUGGCGGCGUGCUUAAUACAUGCAAGUCGAACGAUGAAGCCCAGCUUUCUGGGUUGAUUAGUUGCCAACGGAUGAGUAACUCACAAGUAACCUGCCCUUCUCUCUGGCUUAAGUCACGUCAACUAGGUCUAAUUCUGGAUAUGACUUCUCAUCGCAUGCAUGGGUGAGUAAUGAUUUAUUGGUUUUGGAUGGACUCUCGGCCUAUCAGCUCGUUGGUGAGGUAAUGGUUCGCCAACGCGUAGACGGGUAGCCGGCCUGUGAGGGACAACGGCCACACUGGGACUGAGACACGGCCCAGAAUCCUACCGGACGCAGCAGUGGAGAGUAUUGCGCAAUGGGGGCAAGCGUGAUGUAGCGACGCCGCGUGCGGGAUGACGUCCUUCGGGUUGUAAACCUCUUUCAGUAGGGAAGAAGCGAGAGUGACGGUACCUACAGAAAAAGCGCCGGCUAACUACGUG
rnacentral:rRNA from 1 species